rnacentral:rRNA from 1 species
UACGAAGGGUGCAAGCGUUACUCGGAAUUACUGGGCGUAAAGCGUGCGUAGGUGGUUUGUUAAGUCUGUUGUGAAAGCCCCGGGCUCAACCUGGGAAUGGCAAUGGAUACUGGCAAGCUAGAGUGCGGUAGAGGGUAGUGGAAUUCCCGGUGUAGCGGUGAAAUGCGUAGAGAUCGGGAGGAACACCAGUGGCGAAGGCGGCUACCUGGACCAGCACUGACACUGAGGCACGAAAGCGUGGGAAGCAAACAGG